CCUUCUGUAGCUCAAUUGGUAGAGCAUGUGACUGUAGAGUCGUCUGGCAGUAAUCACAGGGUCGCUGGUUCGAUUCCGGCCGGAAGGA
rnacentral:tRNA from 1 species